rnacentral:lncRNA from 1 species
GAAGCAUCUAAACUACAUCAAUCCCAAAUUUUCAAAAGAUAUCCUAAAAUAAAUAUUCACCAACAUCAAAAUACUUGUACAAAAAAUCAAAGUCCACCAAAUUCCAGUGGUAAAUCACUUGUAGAGUCUAAGUAGUAAGAGGUCAGCAAUUCUUCUCAGUUCCUUUAAUCACCACCAUUAUUUUUAUUUGCCAUUCAGAUUGCUAUUGUUGCCUCUCCAUUCGCUUAGCGUGCCCUUAAUUGUAGUAUCUACAAAUCCCUUAUAUGCAGCCCUGGAUUAUAGCAACAUGUAGAAAACAAUGUUUAACAAGCAUUUUACUAUUCUCUAAGGGGGCAAAAAAAAAAACAUUUUACUAUUUUCUAAUCAAAGAACCUAUGGCAAGUAUAAUAGAUUUAAAAACUAAGAAUUAACAUAAACAUCUUUCGCUAGUACUCACAUAAAUAUUUAUAUAACCUUAAGCAUCCAAGAACCAAAAGCAAUUUACAUGCUGCACUUAUCAAAUGUACAAUAGAAUAGAGAAAAUGAGAAGAAUUGCAAGCAUAACAAAAAAGGAAAAAGUACAAAAGUGAAGAUUUUAGUGAGAGAAAGAAUUGUCCUCGGUGUAGUUUACUUCCUUAUAAGCCAAUACACAACAUUAAAGGAAACUCAUACUUGGAUGUCAUAAUAAAGACAAAAAUCAACUAAAAAGCUAUUUGUAUUACAGAUUUUGUUGGAUAAUAAGGAUAUAAGGUUGAUAACAAAUUUAGGACUCUAAUGGAAAAGAAACUAUUAUCAAAUUCUCUAAUUUUCCUCUACAGAAAAGGGGCAUAACAUGACUGGUCCAUUUACAAUUCCAAUCAUAUUAAUAGAUUUUAUUUACCAACUAUCUUUGUGAGUUAAAAUAGUCUACAAAACACCAUUAAAAAUACCUAGAAAGGAAUUAAAAAUUUUGAAACUAACACCAUACCUGCAGUCAAGAGCCUUGCAUUUAUAUUCCUUACAAAAGUAAUACAAGUAUGGAGUUAUUUGCACAAAGCAAACCUGUGCAAUGGUAAACCUCAUAAGCCUGAGAAAUGGGUAUAUCACUACAACAUCAAGAAUAGAUCUAGUUUCUAUGCAUUAAAGUUUCUCACCAAACAGAGACAUAACAUGGAAGAUUGCAUCUCAUCUGAAUCAUAAUCAAAUAGUACAAUAUACAAUUUGAAAAUAGAAAUGAGAAAAUCAUGUUGAAGGAGACAAGUUUUAUUUUCAUACUCUAAAUCACCUUAGAAUUGCAAGAGCCCUACUGUAACUUUCCUAAGAAGCCCAAAAUGGAACACCCAAUUAAUUCUUUAAUUAAUAAUCUAUAAUAACCAUAUAAGCUAACAAAAAUUCUACACAUACAUGACUGCUAAAGGACUUUAUAUAAAAAUUAAAGUUAAAAAUGUCACACCAACAGUUUAUGCAGGGCUUCACAAAAAUGAGUUCUAGACCUUCCCCAAAAAAUUGUCAUUUUUCCUUAAAUGGUUUGCCUAAGAUCACGAACCCAAGGCUACAAUUUGACAACAGAGAAUUAAGUUUUCAAUUCAAAGCAUCCAAAAUAUAAACUAACAAAAUUAUAGCUCUUAAUAAUUUCAGUCGUUCGCAAAAUCUACAUUAUUUACAAUAACUCGAGCGGGCAUUCCAGAUUUAUCUUCUACUACAACAUAAAAUGCCGAUUAGUAAUUAAAAGAAGGAAAAUACAAUUGUGAAGAAUUACGGAAGGCUUCUAUUAUUCAACAAUUCAUACGUUCCAAUGCAAAAAGCAAUAAAAAAGAUUUAUGUUGUCUUCCUUUCUAUAUCCAGUAAAUUCAGACAUUAAAAAGAGAAGUUAUAGUUAGUAAUAAUUAAAUCCCAAAAGCUAAUAGAAGAACAGUUCACUCAAAGUUAUACGAAAGGACUACUGGCUUUCUCGUACUCCAAAAAAACAUAGAAAUGGCACAACAUAAAGCCCUUAAUAUAAUAUGCAUCAUAGGUUAAUACACAUAUCUCGUUUAAAUAUCAAUAACAGGUUUUGAAGUAUACAAUUGCAAGCCAAGAAGAAAUAAAUAACCAAAAAAAAGUAAUGCUUUAAUUAUGAGUUCAAUUUGUAGAACAGACUGAUACCUGGGGAAACAUCUCCAUUAAGCACUGAUAGAUUGCAUUGAAACCCAUCUUACAGAGCUAUUGAUCUGUAGAAAUUAAAUUACAACAAAAUUAACUAAUUCCAAUAGCCAAACACAUUAGGUAACAAUCGUAUUUGGUAAAUAAAAAAUCAAACAAAAAUUCGUGUAUAAAAGUUCCAAAGUCAUAAGGGUAUAAUGCAACAACAAAUAAGCACAAUUACGAUACGUAGUUUAACUCCAAACAAACCCAAAAAAAAA